UACGUAGGGCGCAAGCGUUAUCCGGAAUUAUUGGGCGUAAAGAGCUCGUAGGCGGUUUGUCGCGUCUGCCGUGAAAGUCCGGGGCUCAACUCCGGAUCUGCGGUGGGUACGGGCAGACUAGAGUGAUGUAGGGGAGACUGGAAUUCCUGGUGUAGCGGUGAAAUGCGCAGAUAUCCGGAAGAACACCUGAGGCGAAGGCGGCUUGCUGGGCAUGAUCUGACGCUGAGGCGCGAAAGCGUGGGGAGCAAACAGG
rnacentral:rRNA from 1 species